UACGAAGGGUGCUAGCGUUGUUCGGAAUUACUGGGCGUAAAGCGCGCGUAGGCUGUGAUGCAAGUCAGAGGUGAAAGCCUGGGGCUCAACCCCAGAAUUGCCUUUGAAACUGCAUUGCUAGAGUGUCGGAGGGGAUAGCGGAAUUCCUAAUGUAGAGGUGAAAUUCGUAGAUAUUAGGAGGAACACCGGUGGCGAAGGCGGCUAUCUGGACGACAACUGACGCUGAGGCGCGAAAGCACGGGGAUCAAACAGG
rnacentral:rRNA from 1 species